UUAAAAAAAAAUUAGUCUUUAUAUACUACGUUUUGUUAAAUCAUUUUUAAUUCUUCUUAAAAACUAUUGCAAUAAUUAUGCAUACAAAACAAGUUGUUGCGUUAUGUUUAAUAAUUUGUUUUUUAAAACAAACAGAUUCAACAACCACAAGGAAGCAGAUGGCAGCAGUAAAUUAUAUGCUCAAGGGAGAGGCGAUAGAAGAUGAAUUCAGAAAAGAGAUGGACGCCAUUGAUCACCUGAGAACGGAAAAAAACCCUGAGUACUACAGUAAGGUAAU